AGAGUUUGAUCCUGGCUCAGGAUGAACGCUGGCGGCGUGCCUAACACAUGCAAGUCGAGCGAUUUACUUCGGUAAGAGCGGCGGACGGGUGAGUAACGCGUGGGUAACCUGCCCUGUACACACGGAUAACAUACCGAAAGGUAUGCUAAUACGAGAUAAAAUACUUUUAUCGCAUGGUAGAAGUAUCAAAGCUUUUGCGGUACAGGAUGGACCCGCGUCUGAUUAGCUAGUUGGUAGGGUAACGGCUUACCAAGGCGACGAUCAGUAGCCGACCUGAGAGGGUGAUCGGCCACAUUGGAACUGAGACACGGUCCAAACUCCUACGGGAGGCAGCAGUGAGGAAUAUUGCACAAUGGGCGAAAGCCUGAUGCAGCAACGCCGCGUGAGCGAUGAAGGCCUUCGGGUCGUAAAGCUCUGUCCUCAAGGAAGAUAAUGACGGUACUUGAGGAGGAAGCCCCGGCUAACUACGUG
rnacentral:rRNA from 1 species